GACGAACGCUAGCGGCGUGCUUAACACAUGCAAGUCGAACGGAAAGGCCCUGCUUUUGUGGGGUGCUCGAGUGGCGAACGGGUGAGUAACACGUGAGUAACCUGCCCUUGACUUUGGGAUAACUUCAGGAAACUGGGGCUAAUACCGGAUAGGAGCUCCUGCUGCAUGGUGGGGGUUGGAAAGUUUCGGCGGUUGGGGAUGGACUCGCGGCUUAUCAGCUUGUUGGGGGGGUAGUGGCUUACCAAGGCUUUGACGGGUAGCCGGCCUGAGAGGGUGACCGGCCACAUUGGGACUGAGAUACGGCCCAGACUCCUACGGGAGGCAGCAGUGGGGAAUAUUGCACAAUGGGCGGAAGCCUGAUGCAGCAACGCCGCGUGCGGGAUGACGGCCUUCGGGUUGUAAACCGCUUUCGCCUGUGACGAAGCGUGAGUGACGGUAAUGGGUAAAGAAGCACCGGCUAACUACGUG
rnacentral:rRNA from 1 species